AUUGAACGCUGGCGGCAGGCCUAACACAUGCAAGUCGAGCGGCGCGGCGGCCGGGUGCGUAAUGCCUAGGAAUCUGCCUGUUACUGGUGGAUAACGUCCGGAAACGGGCGCUAAUACCGCAUACUUUCAGUUUAGCCUAGGUCGGAUUAGCUAGUUGGUGGGGUAAAGGCCUACCAAGGCGAAGAUCCGUAACUGGUCUGAGAGGAUGAUCGGUCACACUGGAACUGAGACACGGUACAGACUCCUACGGGAGGCAGCAGUGGGGAAUAUUGGACAAUGGGCGAAAGCCUGAUCCAGCCAUGCCGCGUGUGUGAAGAAGGUCUUCGGAUUGUAAAGCACUUUAAGUUGGGAGGCGUUACCAACAGAAUAAGCACCGGCUAACUUCGUGCCAGCAGCCGCGGUAAUUC
rnacentral:rRNA from 1 species